UGAGGGUUUCAACAAAUGUGCUUAAUGGCAUAAAAUUCAUAUUUAAGGGCAUUUUCGGCUUUUUAUCUGCUGCAAGGUGUCCUUCAUUCUACAUCUUAUCUGUAACGUGCCUAAAAUUUUGCCAGCACUAUCAUGACGUGGCUUUCAUUCAGUUCAAGUUGCGGUUUUUUCUCCUUCUCUUUUUCUCAGUUCUGUUUUUCCUUUUCCUGAUCUCUGUUCGUUGGUUUCUAUCUCAAUUUUUCUCAGUUUAGGCUCAAAUUUGUCUUACCGUCAAUUACAAUUGAGUUCUGAUGAGAGCCAGAAUGAGGCUGAAAGGUUUCUUUUGAGAAGAGGCUAGAUUUGGAGGGCAACCUACAGGAAGACAUAUUUAGUCAUUGAAACACAAAAUUCUAUGAAUUUUUCUGUUGAAGUUGUUAAAGUUAUAGAAUCUGGUAACUUCUAUAUUAUAUCAGACGUCUAGCUACUUUCUCUUUAUUGGAUCAUUAAUACAGUAAUUUGUGAA